rnacentral:rRNA from 1 species
UACGUAGGGUGCAAGCGUUGUCCGGAAUUAUUGGGCGUAAAGAGCUCGUAGGCGGUUUGUUGCGUCGGCUGUGAAAUCCCGAGGCUCAACCUCGGGUCUGCAGUCGAUACGAGCAAACUAGAGUGUUGCAGGGGAGACUGGAAUUCCUGGUGUAGCGGUGAAAUGCGCAGAUAUCAGGAGGAACACCGGUGGCGAAGGCAGCAGACUGGGCGUUCCCUGACGCUGAGGCGCGAAAGCGUGGGUAGCAAACAGG